rnacentral:rRNA from 1 species
ACCCACCUACGGGACGCAGCAGUCGGGAAUAUUGCACAAUGGAGGAAACUCUGAUGCAGUGACGCCGCGUGCAGGAAGAAGGUUCUCGGAUUGUAAACUGCUUUAGAUAGGGAAGAUAAAAGACUGUACCUAUAGAAUAAGCUCCGGCUAAAUACGUGCCAGCAGCCGCGGUAAUACGUAUGGAGCAAGCGUUAUCCGGAUUUACUGGGUGUAAAGGGAGAGUAGGUGGCAGAGCAAGUCCGAAGUGAAAACCCAAAGCUCAACUAUGGGAAUGCUUUAGAAACUGCUCAGCUAGAGUGCAGGAG